GUGAUCUUUUAAUACCGUGACACAAUAUUUCCACAGAACAUGACAAGAUUUUGAGCUCACUGCAAGUGUUUUCCUUCCUUCUCCAUUGCGCUUUAGAGUUGUGCAUGCAUGCGUGUGUGUGUGAGAGAGAGAGAGAGAGGUCUGGUGUUGUGUAACUAUAAUGUUGUGCACAGCUGCUCAAACACACACACACACAUACGCACACACACUCAGAUCUUAUUCACAAGCACGCAUCCAGAUGGCUGAGAGGGGAAGUCAAGAGAAGAAAAGCCACAUCUGAGUGUACAUCAUGUUCACAUUUUCUUGGAUGUUGAUCUCUGAGCAUCUGAACGACUCCGGUUUAAGUUUUGAGUUCAGUUUUUGACAAUUCUCCUGAAUCCUGGACGUGUUUUUGUUUUGAGUUUGCAUGUGGAGGAUAAAGUGUAACUGUCUGUGCGGGUGGCCAAGCUAAAAAAUGACAGCAAUGCUCUGCUCUGUAGUCUAACGUUUUAACCCGACCAUGGGGAUCUCUGGGAGCAGAGGGAAAAAAGUGGCACCUGCGUCUGUGAGAGAGGGAGACCCAAGCUCCACUGUUAGUGUUUCUUGGAAAAACAUUCGGAAGGAUCUUCUCAGCAACAAGCAAGUCACACAGUUUUCAACAGAUGGUAGAAACCUGGCAGGGGAAGUGGACCGAAUUCUCAAGGAAUGUGAAGACACGCAGGACGUGAAGAGAGGUUUUCCGAAAAGUCCGUUGUACAUGUGCAAAAAUUACACCUUCUGUUACAACCAAAGAGAUCAGCAUGACACAGACGUUGAGAGCACACACACUGCUGACAUUAUUCUACCCACUGAUCUACUCAAGCCUGGCAGAUUUGAAGACAAAAAGGAUAUCUGUACCUUCAAUAAACUAAACAUGCCCCGGAAACAGACUGCAGUGACAGCACUGAGAGCAGAUCUGGUGUAUACAAAGACAACACAUGUUCCUGGUGUUUGUGAUGACAUUUCGCUGGCUUUGCCUGUGUCAUAUGAUGCUUCUGAAGAAGACUUGAUGAGUGCAAUAGAGAGAGAAUUUGGAUAGCAUAAUAAUGAGGCAGUUUAUCUUGGAUGCAAAUUUGUAAAGCAAAUACUUGCUUUACAAAACCCAAACAGUAUCUUAAUGCAAAAAAUACAGAUGUCUGUUUUAUAUAAAUCCUGCUCUCUGUAAAUUCUGGCUUUAAAUAUGUCUUUCUAUUUGCCAAAAUGCUUGUUAUGUACUUGUAUUGUACUGUGUUGUGUUGUAUUGUAUUAUAUUGUGUUGUACUUUUUUUCCACUUGCAUGCAAAGCCUUCAAUCAGAUGAAUUCUUUUUGAUAUGCAUUACACAGGAGAUAGAAUUCAGUAUUUCCAUGGCCACAAAAUAAUUUCAGGGGGAAAAAUGUGCGUGUCUGGAAUGUAUGUUUAAGUACCAUUUCCUGGCCGCAGUUUAUGUGGAGCUCUCCACCCCUCAGUAGUGGAAUGCACAUUGACAUGGUUUGGGAUGUAGUUCCUAAAUGAAGGCCCCUUUUCUCCAUCGCAACUGCACUGUGAUGUGAAUCACACAUUGAUACCAAAAACCCACAGAUGUGGUUAUGGGUAGGAAUAAAUCAUCCAAGCGAAUCUUCAUAGUGGAGCUUCAGUUUGAAUUAUGCUCACUAGUAUAGUUUAUAGUUUGUUUUUGUUGCUGGUAGAUGAAAUUACAUUUUAUUUAAUCUUUGAUGGAUCCUCUAAUGAUAGCCUUUAAACAGGUAUUUUGAUUAUUCAGUUUAUACAGUAAGUAAGACUUACUGUAAUGUUUAGUUACAUAUGUCAAAUUGAUAUUAUAUAAAUGCAUAAAAGCAGUUUACUCACCCGCAUACUCUCUCAGACAUGCGCUCAGGUCAGGACUGUAGAUUAAGAAUGCAACAUACAGUAUAGCUUUCUUUCUUUCUUUAUUGAUUUGAUCUCAAUAGGACAGUUCCAGUUCAAACUGAAGAAGAUAUAUUUUGCUGCUUUAUUCAGAAGGAUUUUGCUGCUCACUUAGCUGGUCGAAGAGAAUCUAUGUAUACUUGCACCCCGUCCAGGGUGUCCCCCGCCUUGUGCCCCAUGCCUCUUGGGAUAGGCUCCAGAUUCCCACGACCCAGUAAGGAUAAGCGGGUACAUGGAUGGAUGGAUAUAUAAUAUUAUAUUGUUAUUAUAUUAUAUUAUAUUAUAUUAUAUACUUAUAUUAUAUUCUUCAAUUAUAUUGUAUACUUUGAUCAUAUUAUAUACUUCGAUUAUAUUAUAUUAUAGACUUCGAUAAACAUUUUUCCACACUUUUCAAAUUCUUAUGUUAUGUACGUGUGAAAUAAUUAGUAAAUGUCCCUUAAGAGAGUAAAAUGAAUAUAGAGCACAGCACGGUUUAGUCCACAGGGUGUCGCUGUUCCUGGACCGCUGACCGGUACUGUAGUAAACACGGCGAGUAAAAGGCGGGGGGCGGGGUGUCGCUUCUGAAAUCUGAUUGGUCGCGCCUAUCAGCGCUUCCGUAAACCACGCCGGUCAAUUGGUCUGUAAAUAACGUCGUUACUGGGUGUGUAAGGGAUUUACCCGUUUUCUAUACCGAAUAUAAAGAAGAGAAGAAAAGUCUCUUCAGCCUCAAAAUCUGAUCUCUGGGGAAGUGAAGUGUCUAAUAUGAUGCCUAUAUAAAACAGUGACUAUUUUUGGUUGCUUUUUUUCUUCCAAGACACUACGUGUGAAUAAGGUUUAUUUGUUAAUUGAAUAAUUUAGUGUUUGCCCUUUAAGUGAUGUUUAUAAGGUUUAUAAAGGAAAUCGGUGUAUAUAAAAAUGAGACGGACCUAUAUAACCCGGG
ensembl:lncRNA